rnacentral:tRNA from 1 species
CGACAUAGCUCAAUUGGUAGAGCAACUGACUUGUAAUCAGUAGGUUGUAGGUUCAAGUCCUAUUGUCGG